rnacentral:lncRNA from 1 species
AUACGGAGGCCCUAAGUAUGGUACAAACAUAUUCAAUCAUGAUUUUAAGAUAGUUUAUUAAAAUCCUUAGAAAUCUAGGUGUAUUCAAUUAGAAUUUGAUUUUAAAGAAUUUGAAAAAAGUUGAGGAAUUAGAGGGAAUUUGAGAGAUUUUGUAGUGUAUUUUAAGCAUCCACAAAUCUUACCUCUUCCCAAGAGAUUUCGAGAAAAUUGAAUCAAAAUUUUACAUGAAAUUUCUACAAAUCAAUUAAACUCCAUAAAAAUCAUUAAAUUUAUAAAUCCACUAAAAUUUCUCAAAUUUCCAAUUGAAAACACCCCCCCUUAAAUUGAUGAUGUUAAAUUUUUUUUAAUUUUUUUUAUGGACCCUUUUAUAUACACGCCACUUGUGAUUCAAAAAAAUAUAAGGAUGAUUGACUCUUUAAAUACGGGCAAAUAAUGUUAUCAAAAUUGAUGAUAAAUGUUUCAAAAUUUCACUAUUAUACUCCGUUGUGACGUUUUCAGUCUACAUGCGCAUGAAUAAGUUUGAAUUGGAUAAAAAAAAAGAUUAAGUUUGAAAAAAAUUUAAAUAUUAAGACUCGUGUCAAAAAUUAACAUGGGUAGCUGAUGUUAGCAUUUAUUCUAGGGAACUUUAACGAAAAGCUCCCGGUACUGUUCACUUUAACGAAAAACCACAGUUUUACACUAAAAAGUCAAUCCUGGUACUAUUCAUUUUACUUUUAUUUUGUCUUUAUCGUUAAAACUCAAAGUUUUCAAGCUAUUUUCGUUAGUUUUCCUUUUAUUCUAUGUAAUAGCUUCCAAGUCGUUCCAUGCAUUGACAAGCAGUAGGUCAAGUUUUUUUCAUUGUUUUAACUUGUUAUAGUAAAAUCCCACUUUGGGGUUGGUGACCUUUCAUGGAAAAGACCACCAAAAUCGAAGAAGGAUCAUUAGCCACGGAUCACUCAAACCGGCAAUUCAAAUCUUGAUUGUGCUUCGUUUUAGCUUAUACAUGUUUCAUCCAUACUCUUAAACCCUAAAGUUAACUAACUUGCACACACAUACGUGGGGAUUGUAAGCAGUACUUUGCACAAUGUGGGAGCAUCACUGUGUCGAACUACGAUUGGUGCACGUAUGCAGUUAUGGACUCCUUAUCGUUAUCCUAUCUAGUUUACAAUUGUAAGUGUCAAUUCUACUAUUUUCUUCAGGUUAGAGGAGAAUCCUAAUAGUGAGAUACGUGAUACCGAUUUGUUCACAGUCCAUAGUUACGUUUUGAUGUGGCGGAUUGACCCAUGCGUGUACUUACAAAGUGUCAUUCAUAUAUCUUUGUUUUAUCAAUGACCCAAAUUAUGCUACAAAGACAUCUAUGAAGGUGAUGGCAAGAGGAACAC